GAUCUCAAGAUGGUCACAGCUCACUUUAGCCUUUACCUGUAACCACUUGAAGACACCAUUGGAAUCUAAAGGCUGAUUGUGGGUUCUGCAGGUGUGGAUCCUAUGAAAACUACUUCAAGGUGAAUAAUUGCAUCACAUUGAAAACAGAUAAAUAUUUUUUUCUUUGUUUGAAGAUGGAGGCAGUGGAGUAGGGAGGUGUGCGUACUGCACUUACGAAAGCAUCUAUUUCUCUAAGUUUUGGGCUUCUCUUCCAUUAGGAAAAGUUUUUGGUGCCAUGUUUAUAAACAUGACUACAGACCAUGCUCCUUGUUCCUGUAAAUGCUGCUCCCUAGUCUAGAUGGCCCUGGUGACAACGCAAGAUGGUGAAUGAAGUGCCACUUCUGCAUAGUCUUCCUCAGGCCCUCAAGGGCUUGUUGUUACAGUAGACCCAGAAGCCUUCCGAAGUCCAUCCUAUACCCACCUGACUUGAGGCAACACCCAUCAUCUACCCAAGUUCUUGUGUACAGGGCAAUGAUACACAAAGCAAAACACAAGCUAGACUUUUAAAAGUCUCCUUAGAUCAAAUGUUGCCUCUGCAAAGUUCAUGUGCUAGAAGCCUGAGCAUUGUUCCCGUGUGAAGUCAAGUGGAAUCGUUGGAUAAUUUUGACAAAACUGGAGAGUCACAGGAGAGGAAUGUCACUCCUCGCACGAACCUUCAGGAAGGUCAUCCGUUAAUCCAAGACUUGCUUGCCCCCACCACUUCCUGGUCCCUCUGGAGAUCCAAGGGGCUCAGAGCUGUCUCAUUUGAGUUUAUGAUUCACCUUUGGAGCUGACACUGAAGAAGGACCCCCCAAUCCAUGUGGCUGUCCCCGGUACUCUCAGCAUGGCUGCCUCCAAGCAGCUGACCCUGGGGAAGCUAGCUAGAAAACGCUUGCUUUCUCAGUCACACUGUCGAUCACCCUUGGUUUUCUUCAAAUGCAGUGCACAGA
rnacentral:lncRNA from 1 species